rnacentral:rRNA from 1 species
AUUGAACGCUGGCGGCAUGCCUUACACAUGCAAGUCGAACGGUAACAGGUCUUCGGAUGCUGACGAGUGGCGAACGGGUGAGUAAUACAUCGGAACGUGCCCGAUCGUGGGGGAUAACGAAGCGAAAGCUUUGCUAAUACCGCAUAAGAUCUACGGAUGAAAGCAGGGGACCGCAAGGCCUUGCGCGAACGGAGCGGCCGAUGGCAGAUUAGGUAGUUGGUGGGAUAAAAGCUUACCAAGCCGACGAUCUGUAGCUGGUCUGAGAGGACGACCAGCCACACUGGGACUGAGACACGGCCCAGACUCCUACGGGAGGCAGCAGUGGGGAAUUUUGGACAAUGGGCGCAAGCCUGAUCCAGCCAUGCCGCGUGCAGGAUGAAGGCCUUCGGGUUGUAAACUGCUUUUGCACGGAACGAAAAGACUCUGGUUAAUACCUGGGGUCCAUGACGGUACCGUAAGAAUAAGCACCGGCUAACUACGUGCCAGCCGCCGCAGUAACAC